rnacentral:rRNA from 1 species
UCAAAAACAUGUCCUAUAGAUUUUAUUUUUAGGUUUAGCCUGCCCGCUGAUUUUUGAAUGGCCGCGGUAUUUUGACCGUGCUAAGGUAGCAUAAUCAUUAGUUUCUUAAUUAGAAGCUGGAAUGAAAGGUUGGAUGAGGAAAUUACUGUCUCUAAUUAAAUUUAUUUGAAUUUUAUUUUUUAGUGAAAAAGCUAGAAUUUUUUUGAAAGACGAGAAGACCCUUUAGAGUUUUAUAUUAUUUAUAAAUUUUUAUUAUUUAUUGGAAUAAAAAAUUUUUAGUUUAAAUUUUAUUUGAUUGGGGUGAUUAAGAAAUUGAAUUAACUUUUUUUUAUUAAAAACAUUGAUAUAUGAUUUUUUGAUCCGAUAUUUUUGAUUAAAAGAUUUAAUUACCUUAGGGAUAACAGCGUAAUUUUUUUAGAGAGUUCUUAUCGAAAGAAAAGAUUGCGACCUCGAUGUUGGAUUAAAAUAAAUAAUUGGUGUAGAAGCUAGUUUAAUUAGGUCUGUUCGACCUUUAAAAUUUUACAUGAUCUGA